AGAAAAAGCAGCCAGCUUUGUUUUGUUUUUAUUUUGGUUUAGUAAAAACACACUUCCCACACUAACUUUUGAAACUUACACGUGGCACAGAGGGGGAUCAGUUCCAGUUGAUAUGAGCCUGGAAGAAGAGAGGGAGGAAAUAACUUAAUUGCUUUAGACUUUAGUUCAGCUGGAGUCGAGAGGAAAGAAUCAGUGUCCCUUUUUUGGAAUUCAGCAAGAAGGUCGUGUUCUUGGUGAGGACAGAUCCUCUGCAGGUUUUGUGGAGGUACUGUACGGAGCGCUGCGGAACAUUCACAAAGCAGGUGGCUUUAUAUUUAAAACAGUAACUCUGCUGUCAGUGACAAAAAGCUGUGUUGCUUUCUUGGAAGUAUUGCUGCACUUAGAGCAUACUAUGUUAUAAACAGUAUGUUCCUCUCUUUUUGAAAUGUGAGGCUUCUGGGUUAAACAUGACCUGGGGGGGUGGGGGGUGGAGAGUGUGUGUGUAUGUGUGGUGGAGGGUUGUUUUCAUGUUUAGUGCUGUAAUAUUGGGCUUAGAAGAUAAAAAAAAGAGAUUGGGUAGAUGGGGUGUUAUAUCAAAUCUGGGGACUUUGCCUCUAAGACAUUUGUAGUUUCAGUUUAUCUAUCCCUGGUCCCUGAAUAUCAGUUGAUGGGUUGAAAACCAAGGGGAGUUAAAGGAGUGGGAGAUGAAAUGCAGGAAAAACUGCUGAUCUGUCUGUUUGUGGGUAAUUUGAACAAGACCCCCAGGGAAUGGGAGGACAUUCCCACCUGGAAUUCAGAUUUUGUGUUGAAUGCCGCUAAAAUUAAAGAUCUCGUAACAGAUAGUGCAGCUCCGGUAUCCUGCAGUGAAAUGCUAAAGCACGCACCGUCUCUGCUUUUCUUCUGUCAAUUCCAGCAUGCUUUCUUUUGGCAUCUCUCAUGGAUCUUGCAAACUGUGUUGACAAAAAGCAAUGGCAGAUUGUUUCUUCCCCAAGUCUUUAUAUUCAGACUAUAGCUGCUUCCUCUUUCCUACUCACAUUUUCCCAUAUGGUGACUUUGGAAAAUUCCUCUCUGAUUUCGUUGGGAAGUGCAGGAAACUCUCGUUGGUAGAAGGUUGCCUAUUACUCUCUCUAAUUCUGCUGCUCACAUCUGGAAAGGAUCUGGCUUGGAAAGGGGAGACUCGCUCUGAGCUCAGCGCGUGUAACUGACAUGGCAUGAGCCGAGGGAGCCUGUGGGGGCAAGAGAAAUGUUCUUCUCCAUUCAUCUGAUUUCUGACAGCAAAGGGGCGAUGCCGGCCGGCGGCCGGGCGCUGCUGACGCUGGGGCUCCUGGCGCUGGGCUGCGCCGCCGCCCGCCCGCCGCCGGUCGCCGACAACGACUUCCCCGAGCGCUCCCCGGAGCGGCGGAGGCCGCCCGGCCCGGUCCCCGCCUGUCCCCGCGACUGCGGCUGCACCCAGGAGGGCGUCGUGGACUGCGGCGGCAUCGACCUGAAGGAGUUCCCGCUCCUGCUGCCGGAGCGGACCAACCACCUCUCCCUGCAGAAUAACCAGAUAGAAGAAAUCUUUCCAGAAGAGCUUGCUCGUCUUUACAGACUGGAAACUCUCAAUUUGCAAAAUAACAGGCUAACUUCAAAAGGGUUGCCAGAGGAAGCAUUUGAGCAUCUGGAGAACCUGAAUUACCUGUACCUGGCAAACAAUAAGCUAACAGUGGCUCCGAAAUUCCUACCAAAUACUUUGAUCAGUGCAGAUUUUGCAGCCAAUUAUCUCACUAAGAUAUAUGGGCUCACAUUUGGACAGAAACCAAACUUGAGAUCUGUGUAUCUUCAUAACAACAAACUUUCAGAUGCUGGGUUACCUGAUAAUAUGUUCAAUGGCUCUGAUAAUGUGGAGAUACUCAUUAUGUCCAGCAAUUUCUUGAAGUAUGUUCCAAAGAAUCUCCCUCCAGCACUAUAUAAAUUACACUUAAAGAACAACAAGCUAGAGAAGAUUCCCAAAGGAGCCUUCAGUGAACUUACAGGUCUGCGGGAGCUGUAUUUACAGAAUAACUACUUGACUAAUGAAGGAAUGGACAAUGAAACUUUCUGGAAAUUGUCUAGUCUUGAAUAUCUGGAUUUGUCCAGCAAUAACCUCUCACAAAUCCCAAGUGGUUUACCUCGAAACAUCGUCCUCCUCCACCUGGAGAAGAAUGCAAUUAAGGUGAUUGGCAGAGAUGUCUUGACCCAAAUUAAGAACCUGGAGUACCUUCUGCUCCACAAUAACAAAUUAAAAGCCCGAGGUAUUCACCCAUUAGCCUUCCAGGGCUUAAAGAAGCUGCACACUGUCCACCUGUACAACAACAUGCUGGAAAGAAUUCCCAGUGGGCUGCCCCGACGAGUGAAAACACUUAUGAUCCUUCAUAACCAGAUCUCUGAGAUUAACAGGAAUGACUUUGCUACCACUUACUUCCUUGAAGAGCUGAACCUGAGCUACAAUAAGCUCAAAAGUCCCCAGAUCCAUCGGGAGGCCUUCCGUAAACUGAGGCAACUAAAGUCCUUGGAUCUUUCUGGAAACAAUCUCCACACGGUGCCCUUCGGCUUUCCAAAGAACUUGCAGAUUCUGAAGCUGAAGGAGAACGAGAUAAGCAUCAUCCCAAAAGGGACUUUGUCUGGGAUGACAAAGCUGCGGGAACUGUAUUUGAGCAACAAUAAACUGAAAGUAAAUUCAAUUUAUUCACGAGCAUGGAGAGAACUCAGCAGUCUCCAGUCACUAGACAUGGCUGGCAACCAGCUGACUUCUAUCCCAUCAGACCUGCCAGAAUCUCUGGAAUAUCUGUACCUUCAGAACAACAAGAUCACAACGGUUUCAGAGAAUGCUUUUGAAUCCACGCCCAAAAUAAAGGGGAUUUACCUCAGGUUUAAUAAGAUUGCAGUUGGAGCACUGAAGGAAAGUACCUUCCAAAACCUAAAGCACUUACAGGUACUGGAUAUUGAAGGGAACCUUGAAUUCAGCAACAGUUCAAAGAAUAAGGAUGACUCAGAAGAGGAAAUGGAAGAUGAGGAAGAGGAAGAAGAACUGAGAUAAAAUGUGAACUCACACAAUCACAUCAUGUGGGAGGUAACAACUGUAGUUUAGGAAAGCAUAUGGAAAAUUACAUAUAUGUCUAUGUGUAUAUAUCUAUAUAGACAUACAGAGAACACUUAGCAAAACGUGCAAUGAAUUACGCAGAAACUGUCAUGGCACUGGGCCAGGCUCACGGAAGACAGUGUGUUACAGUGCCUUAUUCAGGGAGAGACCCUGAAUGCCUUUCCAAAGCUUCCAAAUCAUCUUAUACAAGACCCAGGAUCAUAAGGGAUUGCUCUGGAACUCACAAAAGCUGGCUUUUGUUUCUUCUGUUUCUCUUCCUUCACUGUUUCCAUCUGUAAUAACAAUAUGGGACUGUUUUGAACACAUGCCUUCAAAUGCUGUUUUUGUCACUGCAUUUUAAGUGAACCAUGUAUAUGCUUCUUUUCUUUUCCUCCACCCCAAAGAAGCUGUUGUUGAUCAGGUGAGAUGGGUAUUUGCAGUAGUUUCAUAUGUAGAGCAGUAUAUGAGGCAUUUUGGUCAUCAAGCAGCAGUAGUAAUUCUGGAUGCAACUAUUCCUCUGUUAUAACAAUGUGUAUAUUUGGAUGAGAAAAACAAAGUAAGGCUGGAUCCCAUAAUAUUUUAUCUCUACUGCCAAAGCCUGCAGUAUCUGCCUGUUUUAGAAAAGUUUUAAGAUAAAACAAUUGCUCUUGUGAAUAUAUAUAAAAAAUCUGUAUGUCUGCCUUCCA